ACGUUGUACCUGCUGGUCAACGUGAUACGCCUCCUUCAAAGUCAAUAGUUGCAGCCGGAGUUACGACUUCUGCAUGCUCUUGGCGUUACAAACCAACCCGCUGAGACGUUUUGUGACGGAGAUGCAGCAGUGGCAGUUAAGCAGUUCAUCUCAUGUUCCGUGUUAAUGGACGAUACGUCGAGUGGCAAAAGUGGAAUUUUCGUAUUGGGUUCACUCCAAGGGAGGGUUUAGUAAUUCAUUCUGUUGCAUAUGUUGAUGGUAGUCGAGGCCGAAGACCCAUAGCUCAUAGAUUGAGCUUUGUUGAGAUGGUUGUGCCGUAUGGUGAUCCAAACGAUACUCAUUAAAGAAAGAAUGCAUUUGAUGCAGGCGAAGAUGGCCUCGGGAAAAACGCCCACUCACUUAAAAAGGGAUGUGAUUGCUUGGGUUAUAUCAAGUACUUUGAUGCACAUUUUACAAACUUCACUAGGGGCGUUGAAACUAUUGAAAAUUGUGUAUGUAUGCAUGAGGAGGAUCAUGGAAUCCUUUGGAAGCACCAAGACUGGAGAACUGGUUUAGCUGAAGUAAGAAGAUCUCGGCGACUCACAGUGUCUUUUAUAUGCACCGUGGCUAACUAUGUUUCUAUUGGCACUUUUAGCAGGUG